rnacentral:rRNA from 1 species
UAUUGUUAAGUUACUAAGAGCUACUGGUGGAUGCCUUGGCAUCAACAGGCGAUGAAGGACGCGCGUACCUGCGAUAAUCCUCGGUAAGCUGGAAAGAAGCAUUGACCCGGGGGAUUCCGAAUGGGGCAACCCAAUGGGAGUAGAAUCCCAUUAUCUCUAUUUGAAUACAUAGGAUAGAGAAGCGAGACCUGCCGAACUGAAACAUCUAAGUAGGCAGAGGAAAAGAAAUCAAAGAGAUUCCCGGAGUAGCGGCGAGCGAAAUGGGAAGAGCCCAAACCGAAGGCUUUGUCUUCGGGGUUGUAGGACCUGUUAAAGGAUUAGGAAGUAUUAGUCGAACACCUCUGGAAAGUUGGACGAUACAGGGUGAAAGUCCCGUAGACGAAAAUAUGACCUAACAGGACAGGCACCUGAGUAGGGCCGGACACGUGAAACCCGGUCUGAAUCUGGGGAGACCACUCUCCAAGGCUAAAUACUCGUUGAUGNCCGAUAGUGAACAAGUACCGUGAGGGAAAGGUGAAAAGAACCCCUGUGAGGGGAGUGAAAUAGAACCUGAAACCAGUAGCUUACAAGCGGUCGGAGGCCUAUGAGCACUUAGUGCUAAUGGCUGACGGCGUGCCUUUUGCAUGAUGAGCCA